AUUCACUGUUAUCAUUUUCAGGGUCAUCCCUAGGGGGAGAGAAAACCAUUUGUAGAUGUAAUCAAAGCCCAGGCCAGGGUCUUCAUCUCUCAAGCAACACUGACACCAAUAGCCAUGGAUAUAAACCCAAGGUCCUAUUUUAGGAGGCUAGGGGUCAUCCCAGGAACCUUGGUAAGACAGGGACAAUAAAGGAAGGCAAUCACCUACAGAAGGUGUGCUCUGAGUCACACACACUGCUGCUUCCUUUCCUACAUCUCAACACGAAAACCAGUGCCCUCUCCUUUACAGACAGAAGGAAGGACUCAGGUGAAGGGUGGGCCCACACAGCGGGAACGUGGCAGAGCCUACUGACCAUCCAGGAGCCAGCAGGAGGCACUUUCAGGCCCAGGCAGAGGGACUGAAUAGUCACAAAGCCCCAAAUACUGAUUUCCUGGCCCCUACGACAAAAGCAUGCCAGGCCCUGCUCUGGGCCACUGCAUUCCUCUGCCUACCCACAACCUGUGCCAGGACCACCCUGCUCAGAUGCUUGAAGAGCAAGGAAUAGGCAACCCCAGGCUGAUUUUAGACUAAGACCACAGACCUGCUGGUGCCAUAGUCCAGUUUAAAAUCAAUUACCUAAGUAGGUGCAUUCUAAGAAAUGUCCUAUGUUUGAGGGAAGGAAUGCAAUCUUGAUAUUUCAUAAAGACUUUUGCCACCCAGAUAACAGUUACCAUCCUCACUAUGGACAUUUUUAGGACACUAAACAUUAAAUAAUGAAAAUCCUCAGCACCCCUAAUUCCAGAACCCAGAGACAGCCAACUUCUCUCAGCAUUGUAAGGAACUUCAAACAAACUGUGUCUCUGGGUCUAGACACAAUUUUGUUUCCUGCUAUAUGCCUCAAG